GAUGAACGCUAGCGGGAGGCCUAACACAUGCAAGCUGAGCGGUAGAGUCUCUUCGGAGACUUGAGAGCGGCGUACGGGUGCGGAACACGUGUGCAACCUGCCUUUAUCAGGGGGAUAGCCUUUCGAAAGGAAGAUUAAUACUCCAUAAUAUAAUUUACGGCAUCGUAGAUUAUUGAAAACUCCGGUGGAUAGAGAUGGGCACGCGCAAGAUUAGAUAGUUGGUGAGGUAACGGCUCACCAAGUCGAUGAUCUUUAGGGGGCCUGAGAGGGUGAUCCCCCACACUGGUACUGAGACACGGACCAGACUCCUACGGGAGGCAGCAGUGAGGAAUAUUGGACAAUGGGUUAGCGCCUGAUCCAGCCAUCCCGCGUGAAGGACGACGGCCCUAUGGGUUGUAAACUUCUUUUGUACAGGGAUAAACCUAUCUACGUGUAGAUAGCUGAAGGUACUGUACGAAUAAGCACCGGCUAACUCCGUGCCAGCAGCCGCGGUAAGAC
rnacentral:rRNA from 1 species